CUACGGGAGGCUGCAGUGAGGAAUAUUGCACAAUGGGGGGAACCCUGAUGCAGCAACGCCGCGUGGAGGAUGACGCAUUUCGGUGUGUAAACUCCUUUUAUAUGUCAAGAAAAUGACGGUAGCAUAUGAAUAAGCACCGGCUAACUCCGUGCCAGCAGCCGCGGUAAGACGGAGGGUGCAAGCGUUACUCGGAAUCACUGGGCGUAAAGGACGCGUAGGCGGGUUGGAAAGUCAGGUGUGAAAUCCUACAGCUUAACUGUAGAACUGCACUUGAAACUUCUAAUCUAGAGUAUGGGAGGGGGAGAUGGGAUUAGUGGUGUAGGGGUAAAAUCCGUAGAUAUCACUAGGAAUACCUAAAGCGAAGGCGAUCUCCUGGAACAUUACUGACGCUAAGGCGUGAAAGCGUGGGGAGCAAACAGGAUUAGAUACCCGAGUAGUC
rnacentral:rRNA from 1 species